rnacentral:rRNA from 1 species
UGGUGGGUUAGCUUGUCAGGUUGAUUCCGGUAACGAACGAGACCUCAGCCUGCUAAAUAGUACCACUUGCUUCUGCAGGUGCGUACUUCUUAGAGGGACUAUCGCGGGUCUACCCGAUGGAAGUUUGAGGCGAUAACA